UACGUAGGGCGCAAGCGUUGUCCGGAAUUAUUGGGCGUAAAGAGCUCGUAGGCGGUUUGUUACGUCCGCUGUGAAAACCCAGGGCUUAACCCUGGGCUUGCAGUGGAUACGGGCAGACUAGAGGUAGGUAGGGGAGAAUGGAAUUCCCGGUGUAGCGGUGAAAUGCGCAGAUAUCGGGAGGAACACCGGUGGCGAAGGCGGCACUCUGGGCUGGUACUGACGCUGAGGAGCGAAAGCGUGGGUAGCGAACAGG
rnacentral:rRNA from 1 species